rnacentral:rRNA from 1 species
GACGAACGCUGGCGGCGUGCUUAACACAUGCAAGUCGAACGGAAAGGCCCUGCUUUUGUGGGGUGCUCGAGUGGCGAACGGGUGAGUAACACGUGAGUAACCUGCCCUUGACUUUGGGAUAACUUCAGGAAACUGGGGCUAAUACCGGAUAGGAGCUCCUGCUGCAUGGUGGGGGUUGGAAAGUUUCGGCGGUUGGGGAUGGACUCGCGGCUUAUCAGCUUGUUGGUGGGGUAGUGGCUUACCAAGGCUUUGACGGGUAGCCGGCCUGAGAGGGUGACCGGCGACAUUGGGACUGAGAGACGGACCAGACUCGUACGGGGGGCAGCGGUGGGGAAUAUGGCACAGUGGGCGGGAGCCUGAGGCGGAAGCGCCGCGUGCGGGAUGACGGCCUUCGGGGAGUAAACCGCAUUCGCCUGUGACGAAGCGGUAGUGACGGUAAUGGGUAAAGAAGCACCGGCUAACUGCGUG